AAGAAAAUUCAAGUUUGAUGUCACUUUGACAACUUCUGGGGCCCCACAAUACCUAUUAGUGCAGAGCAUUUCAUUGGUAGAUGAAAUAUAAUUUUUUUAUAAAAAUGAUGAUAUCUCAGAAUCUGAUUUCACUGAAAAUAUGUCUGUAUAUAAAGUCCAUGGAAAAAGACUUACUGGGAAAAAAUGCAAAUAAUGUCGCCUUCAGUUAAAUCGUAAGGAAGACCACCAAUAAAUAUCCAAGCGCUGUCUCGAUACUGGUCAUGCCAAGAAGAUUUGCUAUUAUUGUGCAAUUCUCGUUCACUAAGUUUAGUAACAUUUUUCAUGUUCCUGUCAAAAUAUUUCAAAUUAAAUUAUUUUUCUUUGAA